UACGUAGGCAGCGAGCGUUGUUCGGAUUUACUGGGCGUAAAGGGCGCGUAGGCGGUCAGUGCAAGUCAGUUGUGAAAUCUCCGAGCUUAACUCGGAAAGGUCAACUGAUACUGCUCGACUAGAGUGGCGGAAGGGGCAACUGGAAUUCUUGGUGUAGCGGUGAAAUGCGUAGAUAUCAAGAGGAACACCUGCGGCGAAGGCGGGUUGCUGGGCCGACACUGACGCUGGAUGCGCGAAAGCUAGGGGAGCGAACGGG
rnacentral:rRNA from 1 species